rnacentral:rRNA from 1 species
UACGGAGGGGGCGAGCGUUUAUUCGGAAUUAUUGGGCGUAAAGGGCGCGUAGGCGGCUGUACAAGUCAAAGGUGAAAUCCCUCGGCUCAACUGAGGAACUGCCUUUGAAACUGUACGGCUUGAGGCCGGGAGGGGGUAGCGGAAUUCCCAGUGUAGUGGUGAUAUGCGUAGAUAUCGGGAGGAACACCUGUGGCGAAGGCGGCUUUCUGGGCCCUACCUGACGCUGAGACGCGAAAGCGUGGGGAGCGAACCGG